rnacentral:misc_RNA from 1 species
GAAAUGCGAUAAGUAAUGUGAAUUGCAGAAUUCAGUGAAUCAUCGAAUCUUUGAACGCAGAUUGCGCCCGCCAGUAUUCUGGCGGGCAUGCCUGUUCGAGCGUCAUUUCCACCAUCAGGCCCCCGGGCCUGUGUUGGGGACCUGCGGCUGCCCGCAGGCCCCGAAAUUCAGUGGCGGUCGCGCCGUAGCAACCGAGCGUAGUAACUAAAACGUCUCGCUCUGGCUCGCUGGGCGCGCUCCGGCCGUAAAACACCCCCCCUUUUCGCAAAGGUUGACCUCGGAUCAGGUAGGAAUACCCGCUGAACUUAAGC